AGAACGAACGCUGGCGGCGCGCCUAAUACAUGCAAGUCGAGCGAGAAGACGUAGCAAUACGUUUGUAAAGCGGCGAACGGGUGAGGAAUACAUGGGUAACCUACCCUCGAGUGGGGAAUAACUAGCCGAAAGGUUAGCUAAUACCGCGUACGCUCCUUGGACUUCGGUUCAGGGAGGAAAGCGAUACCGUGGGUAUCGCGCUCUUGGAUGGGCUCAUGUCCUAUCAGCUUGUUGGUGAGGUAACGGCUCACCAAGGCUUCGACGGGUAGCUGGUCUGAGAGGACGAUCAGCCACACUGGCACUGCGACACGGGCCAGACUCCUACGGGAGGCAGCAGUAAGGAAUAUUGCGCAAUGGGCGAAAGCCUGACGCAGCGACGCCGCGUGGGGGAUGAAGGUCUUCGGAUUGUAAACCCGUUUCGGAGGAAGAUGGAACGAGCAAUCGUCGACGUACCUCAGAGCAGCCACGGCUAACUCGUGCCAGCAGCCGCGGUAACUC
rnacentral:rRNA from 1 species